GAUCCUGGCUCAGGAUGAACGCUGGCGGCGUGCAUAACACAUUCAAGUCGAACGGGGUAAAGUGCUUCGGUACUUUACCAAGUGGCGGACGGGUGAGUAACGCGUGAGCAACCUGCCCCUAUGUUCGGGAUACCAACCGGAAACAGUUGUUAAUACCGAAUGACAUAACGGGAUUGCAUGGUCCUGUUAUCAAAGAUUUAUUGCAUAGGGAUGGGCUCGCGUCUGAUUAGGCAGUUGGUGAGGUAACGGCU
rnacentral:rRNA from 1 species